rnacentral:rRNA from 1 species
CCUACGGGAGGCAGCAGUGGGGAAUUUUGGACAAUGGGCGAAAGCCUGAUCCAGCAAUGCCGCGUGAGUGAAGAAGGCCUUCGGGUUGUAAAGCUCUUUUGUCAGGGAAGAAACGGUGUGGGCUAAUAUCCUGCACUAAUGACGGUACCUGAAGAAUAAGCACCGGCUAACUACGUGCCAGCAGCCGCGGUAAUACGUAGGGUGCAAGCGUUAAUCGGAAUUACUGGGCGUAAAGCGUGCGCAGGCGGUUUUGUAAGUCUGUCGUGAAAUCCCCGGGCUCAACCUGGGAAUUGCGAUGGAGACUGCAAGGCUAGAAUCUGGCAGAGGGGGGUAGAAUUCCACGUGUAGCAGUGAAAUGCGUAGAGAUGUGGAGGAACACCGAUGGCGAAGGCAGCCCCCUGGGUCAAGAUUGACGCUCAUGCACGAAAGCGUGGGGAGCAAACAGGAUUAGAUACCCUGGUAGUCCACGCCCUAAACGAUGUCUACUAGUUGUCGGGUUUUAAUAACUUGGUAACGCAGCUAACGCGUGAAGUAGACCGCCUGGGGAGUACGGUCGCAAGAUUAAAACUUNAAAUUGAAUUGA